ensembl:lncRNA
GGAAAAACCACUUUAGUCCAUUAAUCUACACAGAAAAACAUCACUUUUAAGCGAACUGCUUUAUUUGGUCCCAGAAAAGCAGAGUUUUCACCCUUGUUCUCCUGAUUUGUAGCUCAAAUACCUUCAUGGCAAUGUUAAACUACAGGAGCAGCCAGUUAAAGAUAACUUCAGGAGAAUUGAAGAAAACCAACCGUUUAAAGAGUUAAAACUCAUUUAAACCUUCAGUAAAGUUCAAGUCAGACAAACUCAGAUUCAUGGUUUACUUUGGUCACAAUUCCAGUUUACUAGAUCAGCUGAGAACAGAACUCCAACCAAGGAAGGAGAGGUCUAGGGUUUAAUGGUCAGAACAAAUUCAGUAGAACUACUCAUCUACACAAGACGCUUUAGAGUCACUUUACUGUCAGGUUCUUCACUAUAGCUGCAUUUGGUCCCAGACACGGUGUCAUUUGUUCCAGGUCAUCCUCCAUUUUCUUACCUCUGAGCUGAUAAGAUGCAGGAGAAACACCUGAGAGACUUUAAACUACAGCAGCCAGAAUUAUUGGAACGGCUGCUUGAUAGUUUAAGAAAACCAGCUGUUUAAAGUCAAACUAAACCAGUUUAAAUCAAUGGCGUUAAAGUCAAGCACAGAUACUCAGAUUCAUGUUUACUUAAGGUUUAUUAAAGGUUACGUCGUAGUUUCUUGGAGGUUCUGCUGAUCAGUUCCACCUGCAGAAACAAAGAAACACAGCAGUUAGUCCCUGAACCAGCAGCUUCUUCUACACUCCAUGUUCCAGCUGCUUCUUACCUCCUUAGACCUUGGUUCCGGUUCCAGGUCCAGGUCCUUGGCUGGGAUCUCCUGGGUUCACCGGAGAGAAAAACGGGCCAAAGUCAUCUGGGGAGUAUUUAGAGUGGGAGAGGAGUUCUCUGGCUCGCUGGUAGCCGUUACUAGACUGGACGAUGUAGGACGUAGGACCACGAACAACCAAUGGGAAGGGGUCGGUGGGAAUGUUAUCAGGGAUCCAGACUGAGGGGUCUGGGAGACGGACAAACCUUGGUCUCAAGUCAUUUAUAUCGUAGGAGAACCCCUGUGGGUAGUUAAUCAAAGGAGUAAAUCCUGCAGAUCCAAAGGGCAAAGAACUGCUGAAGAAACCAGAGCCUCCUGAACCACCAGAUCCUCCAGAACCACCAGAUCCCCCAGAACCACCAGCACCAGCUCCUCCACCAGCUCCUCCAGUUCCUCCACCAGCUCCUCCAGAACCUGUUUGACCUGAAUCCAGACACAAACCAACAUGUUCACGGCUCUGAUCCACUCAUGUGGACACCAGCAGCUAAAUAAAUCCACAUCCAGCUGCUGGAGCUGCCUUCAGACACGUUGGGCUUCAUUUAAAGCUGCUUCAGGUCAACAUGUCUGCAGACUCACCUUUAAUUAGAAAAGGGUAACAAGCUCCAGAGCUGAGGAGCAGGAAGCAGAUCCAGAAGACCCUGUGGAGAGCAGAAAGCAGCCUGUAAAUAGCAGCACAUGGAAGCCCACCUGCAGCAUGAAGCGCAGCAGCUCACCUGAGAACAGAUUCCAGCAGCAUGUCCAGCUGUGAGAAGAAGCCGAGGCCACAGAGUUCAGCUCCAGCAGCCUCCUCACUGCUGAUCAACCUGCUGGAGCUGAACUCUGUGGCCUCGGCUUCUUCUCACAGCUGGACAUGCUGCUGGAAUCUGUUCUCAGGGUCUCCUGGAUCUGCUUCCUGCUCCUCAGCUCUGGAGCUUGUUACCCUUUUCUAAGUAAAGGUCAAACAGGUUCUGGAGGAGCUGGUGGAGGAACUGGAGGAGGAGCUGGCUCUGGUGGUUCUGGGGGAUUUGGUGGUUCUGGAGGCUCUGGGGGAUCUGGUGGUUCUGGAGGAGCUGGUGGAGGAACUGGAGGAGGAGCUGGCUCUGGUGGUUCUGGGGGAUUUGGUGGUUCUGGAGGCUCUGGGGGAUCUGGUGGUUCUGGAGGAGCUGGUGGAGGAACUGGAGGAGGAGCUGGCUCUGGUGGUUCUGGGGGAUCUGGUGGUUCUGGAGGCUCUGGGGGAUCUGGUGGUUCAGGAGGCUCUGGUUUCUUCAGCAGUUCUUUGCCCUUUGGAUUUGCAGGAUUUACUCCUUUGAUUAACUACCCACAGGGGUUCUCCUACGAUAUAAAUGACUUGAGACCAAGGUUUGUCCGUCUCCCAGACCCCUCAGUCUGGAUCCCUGAUAACAUUCCCACCGACCCCUUCCCAUUGGUUGUUCGUGGUCCUACGUCCUACAUCGUCCAGUCCAGUAAUGGCUACCAGCGAGCCAGAGAACUCCUCUCCCACUCUAAAUACUCCCCAGAUGACUUUGGCCCGUUUUUCUCUCCGGUGAACCCGGGAGAUCCCAGCCAAGGACCUGGAACAGGAACUGGAACCAAGGUCUAAGGAGGUGGAACUGAUCAGCAGAACCUCCAAGAAACUACAAAGUGAUCUUUAAUAAACCUAAAGUAAACCAUGAAUCUGAGUUUGUCUGA